rnacentral:rRNA from 1 species
CGUGUAGGCGGUCAUGGAAGUCUGGUGUGAAAUAUCUCGGCUUAACCGAGGGAACGCGCUGGAAACUCCAUGACUUGAGUAUUGGAGGGGGAGCUGGAAUUCCUGGUGUAGGGGUGAAAUCUGUAGAGAUCAGGAAGAACACCGGAGGCGAAGGCGAGCUCCUGGCCAUAUACUGACGCUGAGGCGCGAAAGCGUGGGGAGCGAACAGGAUUAGAUACCCUGGUAGUCC